GAUGAACGCUGGCGGCGUGCCUAAUACAUGCAAGUCGAGCGGAUGGAUUAAGAGCUUGCUCUUAUGAAGUUAGCGGCGGACGGGUGAGUAACACGUGGGUAACCUGCCCAUAAGACUGGGAUAACUCCGGGAAACCAGGGCUAAUACCGGAUAACAUUUUGAACCGCAUGGUUCGAAAUUGAAAGGCGGCUUCGGCUGUCACUUAUGGAUGGACCCGCGUCGCAUUAGCUAGUUGGUGAGGUAACGGCUCACCAAGGCAACGAUGCGUAGCCGACCUGAGAGGGUGAUCGGCCACACUGGGACUGAGACACGGCCCAGACUCCUACGGGAGGCAGCAGUAGGGAAUCUUCCGCAAUGGACGAAAGUCUGACGGAGCAACGCCGCGUGAGUGAUGAAGGCUUUCGGGUCGUAAAACUCUGUUGUUAGGGAAGAACAAGUGCUAGUUGAAUAAGCUGACACCUUGACGGUACCUAACCAGAAAGCCACGGCUAACUACGUGCCAGCAGCCGCGGUAA
rnacentral:rRNA from 1 species